GGUAGUUCUCGGGUGACAUACCCCAGAAUUGGGCUCCCUCCUCUCUGGUUCAGGGUGUGUCACCCAAGAACCCCA
rfam:Myotis lucifugus cont2.27128, whole genome shotgun sequence.